UCCCACUCAACGGGGUGCCCGCGAAGCGGGCUGAGACCAUACCCGCGGAACCUGAUCCGGAUCAUGCCGGCGAAGGGAUUGAGUGAUCACUCCAG
rnacentral:ncRNA from 1 species